rnacentral:rRNA from 1 species
AACGAACGCUGGCGGCAGGCCUAACACAUGCAAGUCGAACGCCCCGCAAGGGGAGUGGCAGACGGGUGAGUAACACGUGGGAACGUACCCUUCGGUUCGGGAUAACUCAGGGAAACUUGAGCUAAUACCGGAUACGUCCGAGAGGAGAAAGAUUUAUCGCCGAGGGAUCGGCCCGCGUCUGAUUAGCUUGUUGGUGAGGUAACGGCUCACCAAGGCGACGAUCAGUAGCUGGUCUGAGAGGAUGAUCAGCCACAUUGGGACUGAGACACGGCCCAAACUCCUACGGGAGGCAGCAGUGGGGAAUAUUGGACAAUGGGCGCAAGCCUGAUCCAGCCAUGCCGCGUGCGGGAAGAAGGCCU